rnacentral:lncRNA from 1 species
UAGUGGUAGGAGUGGUUCCUUGACCUGCGGUGCCUUAGCUGUUCACAGUAGGGUUGCUAUAGUUUGACUGCACAUAAAUAUGAUCUCCUAGCCAUUUGGAUCCUUAUAGUGUAUAUUGGCUACAGUAGGUUUAUUGUAGAAGUAAGGUGCAUACUUAUAAAGGAUCUAUCGACUUUAAUAGAUAAGGAGUAAUCCUAUGGGA